UUAAGUCCCGCAACGAGCGCAACCCUCGACCUUAGUUGCCAGCAUUCAGUUGGGCACUCUAAGGUGACUGCCGGCUAAAAGUCGGAGGAAGGUGGGGAUGACGUCAAAUCAUCAUGCCCCUUAUGACCUGGGCUACACACGUGCUACAAUGGGCGGUACAAAGGGUCGCGAACCCGCGAGGGGGAGCCAAUCCCAAAAAGCCGCUCUCAGUUCGGAUUGUAGGCUGCAACUCGCCUACAUGAAGUCGGAAUCGCUAGUAAUCGCGGAUCAGCACGCCGCGGUGAAUACGUUCCCGGGCCUU
rnacentral:rRNA from 1 species